AUUUUGUUGUUUCUGUGCUACGUAGGAAUAAAUAGUAAUCAGUGAGGGACGCUAGCUCUUUUUAUCGAGGAGGUAUUUUUUUCAAAACAUUUAGAAGAUUUUUAAAAUCCUCUUAUUAAACAGUUAGAUGUAUUGAGGUGUGGAUACACUGGUUUCUUCAUCGGGUUAAUAGUUCUCUUCCAUUAGAGCUGAUAAAACUUUUUUUCUUCCACCUUUUCUGUCAUGAUUUUAUUUCAAUUGGACAAAACUUGAUGUAGCCAUUCUACACAGAUAGAGGGCAUGUUCUUUUACUUCAUGUUUCACCUAGGGAUCAUUUAUACACAGAUAGAGGGCAUGUUCUUUUACUUCAUGUUUCACCUGUUAUGUUACUAGCUAGACUAAGGUACUAAUAUUUAGUCUAACAUUAAAAGAUAUCAAAUUUUGCAUGAGUUUAGACUUUUUCUAACAAACAUGAGAAGACCUUAAUUUGCUCCCUAAUUUCAUCACAGUGAAUAUUGUCCAGCACCAUUAAAUUUGCUCCCUAAUUUCAUCUAGGGUUGAAAUUCCAAAUGAUUUACUUAUUCUCACUUACUUCUAAAAGUGAAUGAGUUUAGUUUGUCUCCAAUUUCUUCUUCUCAUCUCCAGCACCAUUAAUUUGCUCCCUAAUUUCAUCACUUCCUUUCUUCAAUGCCCUAAUCUCUUCUUCCACCACAAGCUUUUUGCCUUCCAAAGCCCGAAACACCUCAAGACCUUCAUACUAACUCUUUCUUUUCACAAUCUCCAACUAUCAGUUGCAACUUGCAACACAAUCCAACCUGGCACAAGAAAAAAAAGGUACUUCACUAUCAAAUCCCUUGAUGUUUUUUUUAUUUUUUAUUUUUAUUUCUGCAUUGAUCUUAAGAUACCUUUGUUUUGAUAGUCAGUCAACCAAAUACAUUACUCUUUGCCAGGGAUCAAGACUGCAUUAUACUUGGACAUCAUCUAUGUAGUAGAUAUUUACAAUUUAUGAUUAGCCAACUUGGAUCCUUAUUUUCUAUGGAAGAUCUAAGUGAUCUCCAUUGUUUAUAAGCUUGGGAAGCUGUAGAAACUCUUAUGGUCACCAUUUGUCGUAAAUCAAUUACAUUUCUGAUUUAAUAAAUCAACUUAAUGUGCUUUUACUGGUGGAUAUAGGACUGGUUGGAUAUCUCUGAGAGGUAGACUUGGGGUUCGUUUCGGAAGAGCUGUGAGCCAAGAUUGUGAUCAAGUUUACGAGACAGGCUUCGGGAGCAAAAGCAGUUUUUCUUGCAUCUUUGGCACUGGUUGGGUUAUACUUUGAAAAAAGAGGACCCAAACAAUGAAGCUACACUGAAACUGCUAGCAAAACAAGCCAAGCAACUCUUUGCAGUUUUUGUACAGACAGAUCAAAUGUAGCUAGGUUAGCCUAUAAGUAGAACAAUAUAUUUUUGACAAGCUGUGUGAACAGCAGUUGUAUUGUAUAUUUGCACAUUAUCAGAACAUUUAUAUUAAUGGUAAUGUUAGUUGCAAACAUAAGUCUCUAGCCGCCCAAAC